GAGUUUGAUCGUGGCUCAGAGCGAACGCUGGCGGCAGGCUUAACACAUGCAAGUCGAGCGGGCGUAGCAAUACGUCAGCGGCAGACGGGUGAGUAACGCGUGGGAACGUACCUUUUGGUUCGGAACAACACAGGGAAACUUGUGCUAAUACCGGAUAAGCCCUUACGGGGAAAGAUUUAUCGCCGAAAGAUCGGCCCGCGUCUGAUUAGCUAGUUGGUGAGGUAACGGCUCACCAAGGCGACGAUCAGUAGCUGGUCUGAGAGGAUGAUCAGCCACAUUGGGACUGAGACACGGCCCAAACUCCUACGGGAGGCAGCAGUGGGGAAUAUUGGACAAUGGGCGCAAGCCUGAUCCAGCCAUGCCGCGUGAGUGAUGAAGGCCCUAGGGUUGUAAAGCUCUUUUGUGCGGGAAGAUAAUGACGGUACCGCAAGAAUAAGCCCCGGCUAACUUCGUGCCAGCCGCCGCCGUAAG
rnacentral:rRNA from 1 species